rnacentral:rRNA from 1 species
GAUGAACGCUGGCGGCGUGCUUAACACAUGCAAGUCGAACGGUGAAGGCGGAGCUUGCUCUGCUGGAUCAGUGGCGAACGGGUGAGUAACACGUGAGCAAUCUGCCCCUGACUCUGGGAUAAGCGCUGGAAACGGCGUCUAAUACUGGAUACGAGCUGCUAAGGCAUCUUCAGCAGCUGUAAAGAACUUCGGUCAGGGAUGAGCUCGCGGCCUAUCAGCUUGUUGGUGAGGUAACGGCUCACCAAGGCGUCGACGGGUAGCCGGCCUGAGAGGGUGACCGGCCACACUGGGACUGAGACACGGACCAGACUCCUACGGGAGGCAGCAGUGGGGAAUAUUGCACAAUGGGCGAAAGCCUGAUGCAGCAACGCCGCGUGAGGGACGACGGCCUUCGGGUUGUAAACCUCUUUUAGCAGGGAAGAAGCGAAAGUGACGGUACCUGCAGAAAAAGCGACGGCUAACUACGUG